AGAGUUUGAUCAUGGCUCAGGACGAACGCUGGCGGCGUGCUUAACACAUGCAAGUCGUGGGAGCCUCGCAAGAGGCGACCGGCGAACGGGUGCGUAACACGUGAGCGACCUUCCGAUUUGUGGGGGAUAGCCGGCCCAACGGCCGGGUAAUACCGCAUACGCCAGACGGGCUGCAUGGCCUGUCUGGGAAACCUCCGGGGCAAAUCGAGGGGCUCGCGGCCUAUCAGCUAGUUGGCGGGGUAAUGGCCCACCAAGGCGACGACGGGUAGCUGGUCUGAGAGGAUGGCCAGCCACAUUGGGACUGAGAAACGGCCCAGACUCCUACGGGAGGCAGCAGUGGGGAAUAUUGCGCAAUGGCCGCAAGGCUGACGCAGCGACGCCGCGUGUGGGAUGAAGCCCUUCGGGGUGUAAACCACUGUUGCCCGGGACGAACGAGAGGCUUUCGCCUCUGUGACGGUACCGGGUGAAGAAGCACCGGCUAACUCCGUGCCAGCAGCCGCGGUAAUACGGAGGGUGCGAGCGUUGUCCGGAAUCACUGGGCGUAAAGGGCGCGUAGGCGGCUUGGUAAGGGGGCGGUGAAAGCCCGGGGCUCAACCCCGGGUCUGCCGGACCGACUGCCGAGCUUGAGCACACUAGGGGCAGGUGGAAUUCCGGGUGUAGCGGUGGAAUGCGUAGAGAUCCGGAAGAACACCGGUGGCGAAGGCGGCCUGCCGGGGUGUGGCUGACGCUGAGGCGCGACAGCGUGGGGAGCAAACAGGAUUAGAUACCCUGGUAGUCCACGCCGUAAACGAUGGGCACUAGGUGCUCGGGGGAGCGACCCUUCGGGUGCCGGCGCUAACGCAUUAAGUGCCCCGCCUGGGGAGUACGGCCGCAAGGCUGAAACUCAAAGGAAUUGACGGGGGCCCGCACAAGCGGUGGAGCAUGUGGUUUAAUUCGACGCAACGCGAAGAACCUUACCUAGGCUUGACAUGUACGCGAAGAUCGUGAGAGAUCGCGGUC
rnacentral:rRNA from 1 species